GAUCAUGGCUCAGGAUGAACGCUAGCGACAGGCUUAACACAUGCAAGUCGAGGGGCAGCGGGGAGUAGCAAUACUUCGCCGGCGACCGGCGCACGGGUGAGUAACACGUGUGCAACCAACCCCGUACCGGGAGAUAACCCGCGGAAACGUGGACUAACAUCCCAUAAUACUGGGGGAUCGCAUGAUCUUUCAUUUAAAAUUCCGGUGGUACGGGACGGGCACGCGCGACAUUAGGUAGUUGGCGGGGUAACGGCCCACCAAG
rnacentral:rRNA from 1 species